rnacentral:rRNA from 1 species
UACGGAGGGUGCAAGCGUUAUCCGGAUUUACUGGGUUUAAAGGGUGCGUAGGUGGGCGAGAAAGUCAGUGGUGAAAUCUCCGGGCUUAACCCGGAAGCUGCCAUUGAUACUAUUUGUCUUGAAUACUUUGGAGGUAAGCGGAAUAUGUCAUGUAGCGGUGAAAUGCUUAGAUAUGUAAUAGAACACCGAUUGCGAAGGCAGUUCACUAGGCGUGUAUUGACACUGAGGCACGAAAGCGUGGGGAUCAAACAGG